UUUCUUUCUCUGUGCCACUUACUCCAUUUUCCAGAUACUUCAAAUUCCUCACUCAGCCAAAAACACCAUUCUUUCACGCAAAUCUUCCUUUCACAAUUGCAAUUUCUUCUGCCUAGACUGUGGUCAGCCUUGAAAAACUCCUGUACAUCCUUUGUGACCCAACUCGAAUGUCACAUCCUCUAGCUGACCUCAAUCUUCAUUGUGACCUCAUAAUAAGACAUAUACACCCCUACUGAAGCGUAAGUUCCCCCUCUCCACCCUUCAGGCCCUGCAGCCACUGUCUGCCCACACAGUCCCAAAUGUUAUCACAAUACUAAGCUAUUGUGCAUUAUAUGUGAUUCACCUCAGAGCCACAGCAUAUUUUCUUUUCUCUUCCAGAAAAACUUCUUCCUCUCUACUUUCCCCAAGCCACUCACCUCGCAAACUCCUACAAGUUUGUCAGACCUCAGUUUAGUUCAGAUCGGAUGCAUUCAGGGUGUUAUGGCAGGAGACAGACAUGAUCAUAGGAAACUUCCUCAGAUCUUCCAAGACUAGGUUUGCUUUGUCCCUGAAUAUGCUUCCAGAGUACCCUCUGCUGACCCUGAGUACUGGUCUAUAGCACCAAAUGGAAGACUGUCUGUCGAUACACAUUUUGUGACAGGCUCAGUUUUGUAUAACUAUUGUCAAUCUCCAUAACCCUAGCACAUAGGAAGUCUCUGGCACAUAUCAGAUGCUCAAUAUCGGUUGAGUGAAUGUAUUAAUCAUCUCCUUUAAAACCAGAGUCAGUGGAUUGAAGGGAUUGACUUCAGUAGGCAGCAAUUCAGUCCAACAAAUAAGGAUCUAUUACUGAGCAUCAACUAUGGUGAAACUGUGCUUGGUGGAAGUUCAAGAAUGAAUAUAUCAAAAGUCACGUCCUGCAGGAAGUCACAACCAACAACGGAGAUAAACUGUUAAACUGAAAAUGAUCCUUGUAUGAAUUAAAGAUGCUGGUACACUUGAUUUUCAUUGUCUUUUUUAUGGAACUCCUUCUCAAAUGUUCAGAUCUACUUAAUCUUGACAAUUUAUCUCUUUGCUGGCUGAGGUAAAAAGAGCAACAGGCAGUAUAGGUCGUCAGGAGACCCUGAAAAGGGAUGAGUGUGUGUGUUUGUAUGUGUGUGUGUGUCUGUGUGUGUCUGUGUGUGUCUGUGUGUGCGUGAUUAUAAAUAGUACACACUGUAGAAGCCUCCACAUUCAGUCCACACUGCCCUCUUCUCAACCUUAACGCCAACUGCUCACAAGUCCAUGCGCUGCAAAUUCUCCAUGAAUCUCCAGGUUCUCAUUAGAAAGUGCACUUUCAAACUGCUUUAUCUUUACUCAUAACAGUUUCCUCUUCUGGAAUGUCUCCCUCCUCCAAAUGCCCAUUACACUUUAAUUAUGUUUCACAUAGUCAGUGCUCAAUAAAUAUCUGUG
rnacentral:lncRNA from 1 species